rnacentral:tRNA from 1 species
UAGAUGGAAGCUCGCUGGUUAGAGCACUUAGCUGUUAACUAAGAGGCUGUAGGAUCGAGGCCUACCCAUCUAG